rnacentral:SRP_RNA from 1 species
CCGCGCUAGACGGGGGACUGGCGGUACCCUGCACCAGCAAUCCGCCUCAGCUGGGUUGAAUUCCCGCUCCAAGGCUCGGCCCUUCGGGUCAGACCGAGGCAGAAGGUAUUGAAGGCCGGGACCUGCGCAGGUUGGGCCCCCGAACCCCGUCAGGACCGGAAGGUAGCAGCGGUAAGGGGAUUUCCGGCGGUGCCGCAGCAAUUCGGGCCGGAGCUGGACGCUUCGGGCGCGCCGGGGGUGCCGCAGUCGACGAGAGGGUGCGCGG